rnacentral:rRNA from 1 species
GACGAACGCUGGCGGCGUGCUUAACACAUGCGAGUCGAACGGAAAGGCCCUGCUUUUGUGGGGUGCUGGAGGGGGAAACGGGGGAGAAAAACGUGGGUAACCGGCCCUGGCUUUGGGGAUAACUCAGGGAAACUGGGGUAAUAACGGGAAGGGAGUCCCUGCGGCAGGGUGGGGGUGGGAAAGUUUCGGCGGUUGGGGAUGGACUCGCGGCUUAUCAGCUUGUUGGUGGGGUAGUGGCUUACCAAGGCUUUGACGGGUAGCCGGCCUGAGAGGGUGACCGGCCACAUUGGGACUGAGAUACGGCCCAGACUCCUACGGGAGGCAGCAGUGGGGAAUAUUGCACAAUGGGCGGAAGCCUGAUGCAGCAACGCCGCGUGCGGGAUGACGGCCUUCGGGUUGUAAACCGCUUUCGCCUGUGACGAAGCGUGAGUGACGGUAAUGGGUAAAGAAGCACCGGCUAACUACGUG